rnacentral:rRNA from 1 species
GAUGAACGCUGGCGGCGUGCCUAAUACAUGCAAGUCGAGCGAACGGACGAGAAGCUUGCUUCUCUGAUGUUAGCGGCGGACGGGUGAGUAACACGUGGAUAACCUACCUAUAAGACUGGGAUAACUUCGGGAAACCGGAGCUAAUACCGGAUAAUAUUUUGAACCGCAUGGUUCAAAAGUGAAAGACGGUCUUGCUGUCACUUAUAGAUGGAUCCGCGCUGCAUUAGCUAGUUGGUAAGGUAACGGCUUACCAAGGCAACGAUGCAUAGCCGACCUGAGAGGGUGAUCGGCCACACGGGAGCUGAGACGCGGUCCAGACUCCUACGGGAGGCAGCAGUAGGGAAUCUUCCGCAAUAGGCGAAAGCCUGACGGAGCAACGCCGCGUGAGUGAUGAAGGUCUUCGGAUCGUAAACCUCUGUUAUUAGGGAAGAACAUAUGUGUAAGUAACUGUGCACAUCUUGACGGUACCUAAUCAGAAAGCCACGGCUAACUACGUG